rnacentral:lncRNA from 1 species
CCAGCCUCGGGUCCGGGUUUUCUUCCACUCCUAGUGCCCCUAGUUUUCCCAUUUUUGUUUCUUUUCGUCUAGCCCUUUCUUUGCCCCCCUGUUUUGUUUCCAGAUUUCCUCUCUCGACAGGGUGUGCACACAGAAGGUGCUCAAUAACUGUUUGCUGGAUCGGAGUGGCGCGCUGAUGUGGGCUGAGGACGCUGGGCCGCAUUCACCCCGGGUCUGGCGCGAAUUGGCGGCGGGGCUCCGGACACUACUUCGGGUCCAGCCCAGUCCUUUGAAAUCAGUUGCUUGAUUAUCAAGAGAGGGCAGAGUGGGCAGGGGGAUCCCGGGCCUGGUCCUUUACGGAUCAAUUUCCUUCCCCGGUGGGGAACACCGGAUCAAUCACGCUAAGUCGCCACCUACCGCGCCAGGAGGAGUUGCCGCGCACGCCGCCUCCUCUGCGCCUCCCAACAACCCUAGAAGAUUUUUUCCCAAGGGAGGUGACCAUGGUCCAGAGAGGUUACGUGAUUUCCCUAAGGUCACACAGCCAGUAAGGGGCGGAGUAGGGAUUGGAGCCCUGAUUCCACUCCGGGGCCCACGCUUUCCCCGCCAUGCCCAGCUCCCUCUCCUUGAGGGUCAUGUAUUGCCUGGAUGGCUCUUUGGGGCCGGAAAAGGCCCGCGAAGCGCGCGUGUCGCUGGAAACAGGCAGCGUGGAACCGACCCUAGCUCUACGAAUUUAACUCGUUGGUGCCCUGACCACGAGCAAACGCCAUCCCUCGGGAAUAAGAGGGACACCUCACCUGCCCUCAAUGCUGUCUGUGAAGGCGUUUUCCUUUUUUGGGGAGGAGACAGAAUCCUCUAUCUGCAAACUCAGCUUCUGGCCGCGCUGGCAGGACCAAAAGAGGCCGGCGGUCCGUGGCGUGGAACCCCGGGCGGGAAUGAGAUGACCGGCGUCAGGGGACCUGGGGCACUCCUAGCUCUGGGCGCAGCUUCCGCAGAGUCUCGGAAUGCCUUCCCAGGAAUCAGAUCCCAUGCCCUGCUCCUGCUCGGCUGAACCCAGGCCCGAGAUCUGGAGUGUCCAUCCAGUCACCCAGCCUUCUGCUUCCGACCAACCGAGAAGGCAGUGCUUUGAGAAGCAACCAUCCUACUGCAAGUUAGGAUGGUGCCAGAUCGUCUGCCUGGAAUCAGCUCAUCCGGUCUUAGAUUCCUGGGUUUGGUACUUACUAGCUGUGUGACGUUGGGCAAGUUACUUAACCUCUCUGAGCCUCACUUUCCCCAUAUAUAAAGUGUGGGAUUGUGGUAACAAUCUCUUCGUAUUAUUAUGGCUAUAAAAUGAAAAGUUGUGUGAGAUGCUUGGCACUGCCAGCAUUAAACGUUUAUUAUGAGUACUUAAGAGAGACGAAUUUCAAAGGGGAUGUGUCUGUACCUCCCUGGAGACUCCAGAAGAGCGGAGGGGCCGAGGACCCAAACAUGAGGGCAAACACAAGGGCUCGAACCCUGGUUUCUGGUUUUCUCUCUGGAGGGUGGUCUCUAGCAAAUUGCGGCGCCUUUCCCGGGGUUUGCAGUCGCCUCAGGGCCCCGCCCGCGGUGCCAGGUGCGGGAAAGACCUGUCUUGGGGGUAGUCGAAAGCGAAUUCCACGGCUUACCCUUAACUCGGGGCCUGGCUGGGGGCAGACGGAAG